AUGAACGCUAGCUACAGGCUUAACACAUGCAAGUCGAGGGGCAUCAGGAAGAAAGCUUGCUUUCUUUGCUGGCGACCGGCGCACGGGUGAGUAACACGUAUCCAACCUGCCCUUUACUCGGGGAUAGCCUUUCGAAAGAAAGAUUAAUACCCGAUAGUAUAAUGAUUCCGCAUGGUUUCAUUAUUAAAGGAUUCCGGUAAAGGAUGGGGAUGCGUUCCAUUAGGUUGUUGGUGAGGUAACGGCCCACCAAGCCUUCGAUGGAUAGGGGUUCUGAGAGGAAGGUCCCCCACAUUGGAACUGAGACACGGUCCAAACUCCUACGGGAGGCAGCAGUGAGGAAUAUUGGUCAAUGGGCGCUAGCCUGAACCAGCCAAGUAGCGUGAAGGAUGAAGGCUCUAUGGGUCGUAAACUUCUUUUAUAUAAGAAUAAAGUGCAGUAUGUAUACUGUUUUGUAUGUAUUAUAUGAAUAAGGAUCGGCUAACUCCGUGCCAGCAGCCGCGGUAAUACGGAGGAUCCGAGCGUUAUCCGGAUUUAUUGGGUUUAAAGGGAGAGUAGGUGGACUGGUAAGUCAGUUGUGAAAGUUAGCGGCUCAACCGUAAAAUUGCAGUUGAUACUGUCAGUCUUGAGUACAGUAGAGGUGGGCGGAAUUCGUGGUGUAGCGGUGAAAUGCUUAGAUAUCACGAAGAACUCCGAUUGCGAAGGCAGCUCACUGGACUGCAACUGACACUGAUGCUCGAAAGUGUGGGUAUCAAACAGGAUUAGAUACCCUGGUAGUCCACACAGUAAACGAUGAAUACUCGCUGUUUGCGAUAUACAGUAAGCGGCCAAGCGAAAGCAUUAAGUAUUCCACCUGGGGAGUACGCCGGCAACGGUGAAACUCAAAGGAAUUGACGGGGGCCCGCACAAGCGGAGGAACAUGUGGUUUAAUUCGAUGAUACGCGAGGAACCUUACCCGGGCUUAAAUUGCAGUGGAAUGAUGUGGAAACAUGUCAGUGAGCAAUCACCGCUGUGAAGGUGCUGCAUGGUUGUCGUCAGCUCGUGCCGUGAGGUGUCGGCUUAAGUGCCAUAACGAGCGCAACCCUUAUCUUUAGUUACUAACAGGUUAUGCUGAGGACUCUGGAGAGACUGCCGUCGUAAGAUGUGAGGAAGGUGGGGAUGACGUCAAAUCAGCACGGCCCUUACGUCCGGGGCUACACACGUGUUACAAUGGGGGGUACAGAAGGCAGCUAGCGGGUGACCGUAUGCUAAUCCCAAAAGCCUCUCUCAGUUCGGAUCGAAGUCUGCAACCCGACUUCGUGAAGCUGGAUUCGCUAGUAAUCGCGCAUCAGCCACGGCGCGGUGAAUACGUUCCCGGGCCUUGUACACACCGCCCGUCAAGCCAUGGGAGCCGGGGGUACCUGAAGUACGUAACCGCAAGGAUCGUCCUAGGGUAAAACUGGUGACUGGGGCU
rnacentral:rRNA from 1 species